UACGUAUGGUGCGAGCGUUGUCCGGAUUUACUGGGCGUGAAGGGGGCGCAGGCGGCGCGCCAAGCCCGAUGUGAAAGCCCGGGGCUCAACCCCGGGACUGCAUUGGGAACUGGCGUGCUGGAGUGCCGGAGGGGCAGGCGGAAUUCCUGGUGUAGCGGUGAAAUGCGUAGAUAUCAGGAGGAACACCGGUGGCGAAGGCGGCCUGCUGGACGGAUACUGACGCUGAGGCCCGAAAGCGUGGGGAGCAAACAGG
rnacentral:rRNA from 1 species